rnacentral:rRNA from 1 species
GCCAGUAGUCAUAUGCUUGUCUCAAAGAUUAAGCCAUGCAUGUCUAAGUAUAAAUAACUACACAGUGAAACUGCGAAUGGCUCAUUAGAACAGUUAUAGUUUAUUUGAUAUAUUAAAAUGGAUAACUGUAGGAAACUAGAGCUAAUACAUGCCUAGGCCGUAAGGCUGCAUUUAUUAGAUAAACCAAGAAGGUGAAUCAUAAUAACUUUGCAAAUCGAAACUACGUUUCGAUACAUCAUUCAAGUUUCUGACCUAUCAUGCUCUCGAUGGUAGUGUAUUGGACUACCAUGGCAGUCACGGGUAACGGAGAAUUAGGGUUCGAUUUCCGGAGAAGGGAGCCUGAGAAACGGCUACUACAUCUAAGGAAGGCAGCAGGCGCGUAAAUUACCCAAUCCUAAAUCAGGAGGUAGUGACAAGAUAUAACAACGCGAUUAAAUGUCGCGAUUGUAGUGAGGGUAUUCUAAAAAUUAGCUUCGAG